rnacentral:lncRNA from 1 species
GAUGAAUACAUUUAUCCAAUACGAAAUAUUAGUAAUAUCAGCAAUGAUGUAGCUAGAACUAAGCGUGUGAUUCUUCAAAUAGUAAGUACUUGAGCCUCUUUAUUCCGCAACCUAAAGUGCAAAAGAAGAUUAUUCCUAACUGUCCUUUUAGAAGCAUAUGAGAUUUCCUCCGAAUCCACAUUCUUUGUGUAUGGCAAUUUGACACACCAUCUUUAUUUUUCACCAUUUGUUGUUGCUCCUCUCUAUCUCUAAUUAAUUGGCCUUAGUUUCUUCUUGCAGCCUGCGCAUUGUCUAAACCUGAAACGUAGUAUAUUUUAUUUGGAUAAAACAAUGAAGUAAACAAACACUGAUGUUAUACAACAGUUAAUUCUGAAAUUUGGGUACGAACAAAGUCCCACUCAAACUUCAAUAAGAAAAACACGUUACAUAAAACAUAAAGAUUUUCCUAAUGAUGUUAAAACAUUUUAAGGAAAAAUUGUGUUGAUUUAGCUAAAAUGAACAAUAUGACACCAUAAUAACAAUAUGACACCAUAUUAAAUAGUGCUUUAGGCUAAAUUAGACCUGUAAUUUUAAGGUCUAUAGGGACAGUGAAAGGCAUGCAACGGCAAGAAUGAGACAAGUAACGAAGGGAUGAUUCUUGAAAUGAACGGAUUUGCUAGAAAUAGUUGAAGGUGGUGUGAAAUACGGGUAGAUGGAAGGAUUAUU